rnacentral:rRNA from 1 species
UACGAAGGGUGCAAGCGUUACUCGGAAUUACUGGGCGUAAAGGGUGCGUAGGUGGUUGUUUAAGUCUGUUGUGAAAGCCCCGGGCUCAACCUGGGAAUGGCAAUGGAUACUGGACAGCUAGAGUGCGGUAGAGGGUAGUGGAAUUCUCGGUGUAGCGGUGAAAUGCGUAGAUAUCGAGAGGAACACCUGCGGCGAAGGCGGGUUGCUGGGCUGACACUGACGCUGAGGCGCGAAAGCCAGGGGAGCGAACGGG